CUGGAACGCAAGGAGUUGCUUCCGGGUCUCAAGGGAAAAAAAUGGUGGCGCCCCAGUGUCACGCUUUGGUACACCGGGUGUUAGCGGAGUGCCCAGUGACCAAGGCCCGGGCAUGUGAGUUCCGCUUGCCCCAUGGCCCAGUGAAGACUCCCGUGUUCAUGCCCGUCGGGACACAGGGCACCAUGGGUGACGGCAGAUCAGCUGCGGAAUCUGGGCUGCGAGAUCUGCCUGGGGAACACCUAUCACCUCGGGAUGCGCCCGGGUCCGGAGAUCAUGAAAAAGGCGGGCGGCCUGCAUGGUUUUAUGAACUGGGGCA